rnacentral:rRNA from 1 species
UGGUAUUGAUUGGUGCUUGCAUCAUGAUUUACAUUUGAGUGAGUGGCGAACUGGUGAGUAACACGUGGGAAACCUGCCCAGAAGCGGGGGAUAACACCUGGAAACAGAUGCUAAUACCGCAUAACAACUUGGACCGCAUGGUCCGAGUUUGAAAGAUGGCUUCGGCUAUCACUUUUGGAUGGUCCCGCGGCGUAUUAGCUAGAUGGUGGGGUAACGGCUCACCAUGGCAAUGAUACGUAGCCGACCUGAGAGGGUAAUCGGCCACAUUGGGACUGAGACACGGCCCAAACUCCUACGGGAGGCAGCAGUAGGGAAUCUUCCACAAUGGACGAAAGUCUGAUGGAGCAACGCCGCGUGAGUGAAGAAGGGUUUCGGCUCGUAAAACUCUGUUGUUAAAGAAGAACAUAUCUGAGAGUAACUGUUCAGGUAUUGACGGUAUUUAACCAGAAAGCCACGGCUAACUACGUGCCAGCAGCCGCGGUAAUACGUAGGUGGCAAGCGUUGUCCGGAUUUAUUGGGCGUAAAGCGAGCGCAGGCGGUUUUUUAAGUCUGAUGUGAAAGCCUUCGGCUCAACCGAAGAAGUGCAUCGGAAACUGGGAAACUUGAGUGCAGAAGAGGACAGUGGAACUCCAUGUGUAGCGGUGAAAUGCGUAGAUAUAUGGAAGAACACCAGUGGCGAAGGCGGCUGUCUGGUCUGUAACUGACGCUGAGGCUCGAAAGUAUGGGUAGCAAACAGGAUUAGAUACCCUGGUAGUCCAUACCGUAAACGAUGAAUGCUAAGUGUUGGAGGGUUUCCGCCCUUCAGUGCUGCAGCUAACGCAUUAAGCAUUCCGCCUGGGGAGUACGGCCGCAAGGCUGAAACUCAAAGGAAUUGACGGGGGCCCGCACAAGCGGUGGAGCAUGUGGUUUAAUUCGAAGCUACGCGAAGAACCUUACCAGGUCUUGACAUACUAUGCAAAUCUAAGAGAUUAGACGUUCCCUUCGGGGACAUGGAUACAGGUGGUGCAUGGUUGUCGUCAGCUCGUGUCGUGAGAUGUUGGGUUAAGUCCCGCAACGAGCGCAACCCUUAUUAUCAGUUGCCAGCAUUAAGUUGGGCACUCUGGUGAGACUGCCGGUGACAAACCGGAGGAAGGUGGGGAUGACGUCAAAUCAUCAUGCCCCUUAUGACCUGGGCUACACACGUGCUACAAUGGAUGGUACAACGAGUUGCGAACUCGCGAGAGUAAGCUAAUCUCUUAAAGCCAUUCUCAGUUCGGAUUGUAGGCUGCAACUCGCCUACAUGAAGUCGGAAUCGCUAGUAAUCGCGGAUCAGCAUGCCGCGGUGAAUACGUUCCCGGGCCUUGUACACACCGCCCGUCACACCAUGAGAGUUUGUAACACCCAAA